UACAGAGAUUUUACAAAAGGUCAGUGCUGGCUAUGCGAGCUGAGACAGGGCUUCCGGGUGCUGCUGUACCAACUCUGCACAGCAGAGGGCAGCGUGGGCAUACCUAGUAGACCAGUAAUAAGCUUGAAGGAUAGGGGUCAUGCAGGAAGCUGGCAAGAGAUUAGGACAGAGAAGCCAAGUCCAGAAAGGGAAGCCAGAAAAGAGCCAAUUGGCCUUUGCUGAGAACCAAUCCUGGGGCAGCUGGCAGCCUCUUGACCACUGAGGCUUUAAGUCUGGAGUUUCCCCAGGAGGGCCAUCCCACUCUCGGUGUCAGAGAGGAAGAGAAGGCAAACACAGAGGACAAAAGAAAGCCAUUGGGAGAUUCUGUAACCUCACACCGCGUCCUCUAAGAAGCAGAAGAGGACAGCUGACCCUCUCGUAAGAAUGGGCAAAGAGAGCUACUGAGAGACUCUACUUACACUGAAUGAACUACCUUCAUUCCAUACUGCUCUCCUCAACUGAAUGAACAUCUUGUCGGCUUAACACUGAUGGGAAAUGAGUGGAAGGAAACGCUGCAGGCGUGUGAGUGUACCUGUAUGUGCUGGCGGUCACAGACAGGUCAGCUGUCCCACUGACCAAGCAAAUAAGAGACACCAUACCUGAUGAAAAGACUGAAAUUCAGGAACCUACCUGUGUCCCAUGGCUAGUAACAGGCUGAGGACCUGAAAAAGACAUUGCCUGUCUUCGGAGCAGGAUUAUUACUACUCAGAAUGUGGCCCAGAGACCAGCUUCUUCCCCAGUGUCACCUCAGCUUUCUGGAGACACAGUCUCAGGAGCCGGCCAGAACACAUGGAUCAGAAUACUUAACAAGAUGCCGCAGGUGACUAAUUUACACAUUCUUAUGGUUUGAGAGGCACCGGUCUCUACCACUUCCUCUCCUGUCCUUUCCUGUGGCUUUCAACACAUGGAAUCACCUUGUUCUUGAUUCUUUAUUUCCUCCCUUUUCUUAGUGGUUCAGAUUUCAAUUAUCCAGGAUGCAUCCCUAGCAACAACAAAAACGUAUCUUCAGCACACAAAACUACAAACCACUGCAGCUUCAAAGACAAACUGUUUUGACUCCAAGCUUCUGCUCCUGUCCCCUCCACAUUGAGAGGAUCCCCAUCGUCUUCAGAACAGCAGUAGUUACCAGCUUUUCUUCUGAUAUAUCUAACCAUUUCCACAGGCUGCUGCUACCCUAUGAUGACAAAGAUGGAGGCGAUGAUGGCUGUGAGCCUUUGUUGGCGCCCAGCGCAGGAGGAAGAGAACACAGAGGAUCCCGGUGGGCUGAGUUCUGGUGAAUUGAGUAUGAUUCCAUAUCAGGACAUGAAGUAUCCUACUGUAUGAACUGCUGCCAACACAGCCACCUCAGCGCUGCCAGGCUGGGGACUGACGUCAAGGCACAUGAAUAGCAGGUCCCCAGCUCAUCCUCAGAGGCCCCUGACAGGCCAAGUCCCAGCCUCACUCACAUGCAGGCAUAGCCUGGCACAAGCCAGCACUACCUCCCCGGACACCCCCUCUACCAUCAGGCCUCUUGGGGAAUCUAGGCUUUUUGUUGCUCUCCCACCCCCACGCCCCAACAGUGGUUCCACAUAGUGUUCGGUUCUUCUCUUUUCUCCCCACAGACAAGCACCCUGGCUUUGUUCCUCUACUCCUGCCUUGUUCCACAGCACUCUCUGUGGACUCAGAGACUGAUGAGUUUCCAAGAGCCUGUGAGUCCAGCUGGAGAGGAGGAAGCUCUGGCAGGGAGGGGCUUAACAGCUGGCCAGAGGACAGGGUCAGGCUGGGACAGAGACUGUGGCCUAGUGUUCUCACUCUGCCUCAGUGGUUUACCUGCCUGUGUUCCACGAAGUUCCUAAGGAGAGGGAAGAUGAAGUAGGGCUAGAGACAGGGCCUCCUCCAUAUUCCUUCGCUCCCUAAAUCUAUCUGCCCACUCUCUAGAGGGACUCCCUGCCCUUCUGUUCCUGUGUGGCUUGUUGUUUUCCACUUUGCUGAUCCACAGGUGCAAAGCUCUGCCCUAGAUCCCGUCUUGCCCUCAGGGUUCUGAGACACUUUGGAGUUCUUAUUCUUUGAUCCUCCUCACAGCCCUUUCAAGUAGCAAAGGCGAGGGCUAUCAGUCUCUCUUGAACUGAGGAGACAGACACAGGAAACAUUUGUCCCACAAGCCAUUCCUGUGGAGUUCUGCCUGGGAAUGGUGUCAUCACACCUACAAAGCUUUGCAAGCACUGAAUCCAGGCUCUGGGGUUGGGCCAGCAUGUAGCUGUGUUUUAUAAGAUAAUUCUAGAUAAUAUCAAGGCCUAAGACCCUCAGCACUAAGUCUUCCUCAGUACCAAGUAACAAGGAGCUCCAUCCCAAAGUUGAAAGUGGAGGUUGAAAGAACAGAUCUCAGAACCCAAGAGAUUUUUUGUUUAUUUAUCUGUUUUGAGCUGACCUCAAUAUAAAUUGCAUUGCAGUAUGUCUCUUUAGGACUUUGGGGGUGGGAACGGGGACAGGGUCUCACUGUGUAUCCCUAGUCAACCUGAACUUACUUUGUAAAUCAGGCUGACUUUGAACUCAAGAGAUUCACCUGCCUCUGCCUCCCAAGAGUUGGGAUUAAAGGCGUGUGCUGGCUUCUUAGCAAUCUUUAGUAAGGAUAGGCUGAAAUUACUCUCCUACAUGCUUUCUCAUCCAUUUGAUUUGAAACUGUGAUGGUCAAAGUCACUCAUACACAUUUAUGCAAAUGAGCCAUAAUAGUAAUAAAGAUGCCAGUGGGAAAAGUC